CAACUAAAUCCUACUAUUAUUUCUCUCCCCAACUAUUCUCAGCAACCUAAUUGCAAAAGAAAAUCCGCAAACUUGGAACCCUUUCCCUCACUUAAUUAUCCUCUUUUGCCAAUUCCACCACUACAUUGGCGAAUCCUUUGACGGAGACUCAGCCACCAAAUGCAACCGCUGCUUUGUCGCGCCGCCUCAAACAAUCGUCGCCCAAUACUCAGGCUGGCUUGCGGUCUCCAAGCGCACCCACCAAGUUUCCUUGUCUCAAUUCCUAUUUCUUUUUUCUUAUUCCCUGUUCUCAAUUUCUUUAAUUUUAAUUUCCUCAUAGAAGAAACGAAAUUUGAGUGAUGCAUGUUGAAGUGAAAGAGGAAUAAGGUUGGAUCGGAGAGAGAGAGUUAAUAAUAGAAGAAACAGGCAUGGCAGCCCGGUGUUGGAGAUGGGCCGUCUUCUUCAAAACCAGAACUGAUCCAUCUGCAUCGAAGAAGAAAUUUAUUGUAGGCUCAAUCAGGAAUCCUGCAGCUGAUUUCAAAAAUAGAUCCAUUUUCAGCGGUGGCUCAAACAAUGGAUGAUAAGAAACCGACCAGAGAGAAGUUGCCUAGCCAGAAAUUUGAUGCCCCCGAAGAGCUGGAGCCAUUGAGAAUAUUUUACUUAUCAUUAUCAGCAGAUUCCUUCAAGUGAAACGGCUAAAUUUUGGUUGACGGAACACGGCAUGCUAUCACCUGAGAGAGCGAGGAGAACUUACGAGAUGAAGCAAAAUAGCUCCGUUCGGGCACUCCCAUAAAACAUCAAGAAUUGCGGAGUGAAAGAAGCGGAUAAUGGAAGACAAUGAAGAUGAUCGAUGAUGAUUUUGUGCUAAGCCACAAGAGGAGAAGAGGUUGAACAAAACAUAGUAAAAAAAAAAACCAUCUGUUUGUAACAGCUUCAGGGUCAGCAAACAAGAAGACGGUGACCAUUUAACCAGGAAAGGAUCAGGCGGUGCUGCUUUCGACAACAAAGACCAAGAAAUAGAACAAGCCCGCCAAUUUUCUUAACAAGUCUCUCAUGAAGAAAGUAUUCAACCGCAUGAGGAAGGCUGUUACAAGAUUGAGCGUUAUUAACAUAAGCCUCAAAGUUUUCAAGUCUGAUGUGAAGAAGAGAAACAGGCGAAGGGAUACUCGCUUAGGUCCGAGUUAGAAUAUGCUUAGAAUCGGAUGGAUACUUUCUAUCGCUAAGGAUUUGGUAUAGAAUAUGCUUUAUUCUUCGUCAAAUCAUUGUUAGUGCAUGGUGAAACUAUUUAUAUUGCUUCUUUUGAUAAACUUAAUUGCUGAAGCAGAUGGAGAAGCACUAAAGCCACGAUUUACUACAAGUUGAUAAUUUUUUUUUUCAUAUUGUUCUUUUAUUGUACUAGGCUCACUAUGAAUUAUUUUAAAUAAUAGUAUAAUUGAAUAUGUAAUAGUGUAAAGGUAAUUUGUAUUCGAUUAUUCUAUUAUAUUCACAAACAUUGAAUAGAUAAA